rnacentral:lncRNA from 1 species
GUUUGUCUUAGGCAAGUUUAAUCUUGUGUUAUACUGUUUUUCCAGAUGUUAUAUUAUUCUUCAUUCUGUGAGCUAAGAUUCAAUCAUCAUCACUCAGGUUAAAGGGAAGACAAAUGUUUUAAUAUUAUUUAGCCCAUUUCCUCCCAGUGUCAGUAACCUUUCUCUUUUGUCCUAACAGUUCCAUCUCUCUAGGCUUUCCCUUUAGCUACCUUCUAUUUUCAGCCGCUGGGGGCUGGUUUUUGCCUUAGAUUAACUUUUUUGUUUUGUUGGGAAGGGGGAAUAUCCUUUGUCAUUGCAUAAAACAUUGGAGAGAUUUAGUUUUAACCAGGUUUAUGAAAGACUGGGAACUGUCAGCAAUAGACCAUCGAUUUUAUAAGUCUAGAGUUAAGAAUAAAGAGCAGCUAGUUUAAGAGUGUGGACACUAUGGUUUCUAAAGAAAACUGGACUUUGAGAAAUGUACCAACUUCUCAUUCCAAAUGAUUGUUCUCAGUUUUAGCAAGGUUAUCUGUUCUCAGUUUAGCAAGGUUAUCUGUUCUCAGUUUAGCAAGGUUAUCUGUCUUAUCUGAAAAUGGAAUUUGAGCUGAUUCUCUUUACAAGCCAAGAAUUUUUUUCCAGGUUGUUCCAUUGUGUUCAAAGACAUGACCUUGAAAAUAUAUGAGUUGUUUAUAGAUAAUUUUCCUUUGCUUUUUAAAAUUGAAGAAGUUAAGCUUAAGUUUCAAAGUAAAAUGUUUAUUCUGUAAAGUUUUCUUUUGUUUAAUUAGGUGUUUAGUGACCAGUAAAUCUGCCCUGGUUGAUUAGUAAGUUUGUGUAGUAGUUGGCCAUUUCUUACCAUGGUAUUAAGAUUUGUUUAAUGCUCUUCAUAAGGGAUUAAUGAGUUAAGACUUUUUAAGUAGGUAGCUUAUUAAGGAAUAGUUCAGGCCAGCAGGUUAGGGCAUCUAAGGUAAUUUAGCUGUGCCUGAAGAUUUGCUCUUUGACCUGGGGCAAGACACUUUCAAAACCACCCUCCCCAAAAUGAUGAUGCCGGUUACUCAUCUACCUCACAGAGUUGUUGUGAGGAUGACUAACAAGUCACUUGAAAAAUUCCUUACCAGUAAAAUGCUGGUGAAUAGCUCUAUACUUUUACUAAACGUCUAAGUCAUGAAGAAGCUUUAAGAAAUAAGUCCUUGCAAAUUUUGAGGAACUAGGUAUGUAAUAUUCAACUUUUUUCAUAUUUGCCAUUAGUUAUACAAAUUUGAGUUAUUACAAAUAACUAUUAAUAAAUAUUGGGAAAGUUUCUUAUAGUGUCCCUGGUACAUACAUUACUUCAAAUUAGUAUAAUAAUGUAAAUUAAAUUUUGUGAUUAAUUUAGCACCAUAUAUUUUAUGCCCACUGCAUAAAUCCUCUGUCUCCAUAGUCUAAGAACCUUAAUAUAGAUUGUGAGUACAUGUUUGAGGGAACCUGUUUGAUAUUUUCCUACUAGGACUUUUUGUUGUUGUUUUGCUCUGAAAUAGGUAUUUCCCUCUAGAUAAGUGUCCUGGGAACCCCUGCAGAAGAAGAUGGUGGAGGCAAAAUUGAUCUAAUUGAAGCAGGAGCUUUUAAAAACCUCGAUGUUGUUUUCAUGGCCCAUCCAUCCCAAGAAAAUGCUGCUUAUCUACCCGAUGUGGCCGAACAUGAGUAAGUAAUCAAGUUGCAGAUAAACUUCUUAGAGGAUAACUGAUAUAGAAUACUUUUAUGUCUAAGGGCCCAACACUCCAAAUUUUUUUUCAUUUAAAAAGUAAAUUGAGGGGCUGGGGACGUGGCUCAAGUGGUGGCGCGCUUGCCUGGCAUGCGUGCGGCCCGGGUUUGAUCCGCGGCACCACAUACAAACAAGGAUGUUGUGUCCGCUGAAAACUGAAAAAUAAAUAUUAAAAAAAUUCUCUCUCCCUCUCUCUCUUAAAAAAAAAGUAAAUUGAUAUGUGCAUGUAUGAAUAUGGUAUAAUGAAUCCCACUACUGUGUAUAAUUAUAAUGCUCCAAUUAAAAACAAAACAAAAAAACCCAGUAAACUGAGUCAGAUGCAGUGGUGUGUGCCUAUAGCUGCAGUUACUUGGAAGACUAAGGCAUGAGUGAGGAGUGCUUGAUCCUGUAUGAAUUAGGAGACCAGAAUGGGCAGUGUAUUGAAACCCCAUCUAAAAAUAGAACAACAAAACAAAAAGUAUAUUGUAAGGGCUGGGGAUAGAGUGCUUGCCUCCUAUGCACAAUGCCCUGGGUUUAAUCCCCAGCAACCCCCCCCCCCCCCACACACACACACACCCACACAAAAGUAUAUUGUAAGAUAAUGUGAUGUCUUAAUUACAUUGAAUGACAUUUGGUAAGACUCCAAAACAAAACAAAAAGUGUAUUGAAAGAUAAUGUGAUGUCUUGAUUAACAUUGAGUGACAUUUGGCAAGACUCUUCUAAUUGAGAUUUAUUAUAGUAUUCAUAAUAGGGCUGCUAAAAUAGUGCCUAAAAACAUAGGAGUAGCAAACAGAACAUGGUGACAUUUGUGUUUUUCUUUGAACUCUGAGAGGAAUCUGAUUUCUGGAAAGUGUGUAUUCUUUGAUAAGGAGUUGCCUUUGCAACUGAAAAGAUUUGUAAGAGAUGGUUUUAUUAGUCAGCCUACUUGGCCCCAGGCCUGUUUCAGUGUCUGGCUUCUUUGUUUUUUCAUGGGUCAUCUUUUUAAGAUUUCCACAAAAGAGGAACAAGAUGAAGAAUUUAAAGAAAGUUAUUUAUCUCUUUAAAUUUCUAAUAAUGAAUAAGAUAAAGCAAGUUUUUCCUAUUGGCCACCUUUCCCAUAUCCAGUCCCUUCUUUGCUGUUGUUGUUUUCUCCAGUGCUGAGGAUGGAACCCAAGUCCUUACACAUGCUAGGCAAGCACUCUACCACUCAGCUACAGCACUAACCCUCCAGUCCCCUCUUUAGAGGUGUAUUUAUAGCACAUGCAUAGGUUUAUAGGACAUGCAUAGGUACAUGUAUAAAUUAAAUAUUGAAGGAAGGUUUGUUGUUUUUUUUCUCUCUCUCUGAGGAAUUCAGCUUAACACACACACAUACACACAUUUUAUUUUGUUUUAUUAGGUACUCAGGGUUGAACUCAGGGGCCCUCUACAACUGAGAAACAUCCCCAGCUCUUUUUUUAUUUUUUGAGACAGAGACUUCCCAUGUUGCUAAGGCUGGCCUUGAAUUUACAGUCCUCUUACCUCAACCUCCUGAGUCACUGAGAUUACAGGCAUGUAUCACUAUGCCCAGCCAUUCAAUAUAUUGUUCUAGCUAGUUGCAGUGGCACAUGUGUGUAAUCCCAGUGACUCAGGAGGCUGAGGCAGGAAGAUUGUGAGUUCAAAGUCAGAUGCAGCAAUUUAGGCCCUAAGUAACUUAGUGAAACCCUGUCUCAAGUAAGAAAGAAAAAAAAAAAAAAGGGUGGGGAGGUGGCUAAGUGGUUAAGCACCCCUGGAUUCAAUCCCUGUUACCAAUAAAUAAAUAAAUAAAUACACAAACAAACACACACAUUGUUUUGGCCCUAUUUUUUAAUUUAAAUUUUUUUUUUUUUUGAAAUGGGUCUUUCUGUGUUGCCCAGGCUGGCCUUGAACUCUUGAUCCUCAUGCUUCAACCUCCAAUAGCUGGCACCAGAGGCAAGUGCCACCAUAACUAGUUCACAGGCCCUUGUUUUGUUAAAACAAAAUCAAACAGUUUGUUUUGAAAAUAAUUUCAUAUUAUUUUGCUUGAAGUAUGUUUUUAAAGGCCAAAAUAUUAAUCUAAUAUAAAAUAACUUUUAAUAUUUCUUUUCCUGUAGUUUAUUGUUCUUUAAUUGUAUAUUUAAGCGCUCAGUGGAAGAGCGCUUGCCUGGCAAAUGUGAGGCACUGGGUUCGAUUCUCAGCACCACAUAUAAAUAAAUAUAUAAAGAUCAGUCAACAACUGAAAAAAAAAAUGGUACUAGAGCCAUUUUCAUAAAGGACUUCCUUUUCCAUUUUAUACUCUAGUUUCAAGGUGAUGGUGAAAAGAUAUAUAUCAAGGAAAUAAGUAUCUUACAAUCUUAUAAAUGUGUUUGAAUGUUUUUACUUAACUUCGUUCUGCUAACAGAAUGUGAGGAAUGACAUAAGAAUUGGUAGCAUUCUAAGAACUCCUGAAUGUCCAGAUGGUUUUUUAGUCUAAAUGUGAACAAUACUAGUUUAAAAAGUGUUAACUAAGUAAGUCAAUCACUUAGUUACACUUAUUUAGUUAUAAAGUUAUAAGUAUUUAAUUCACAAUCUGAGAAUAUGAAAACCAUGGAGUGAAGUAAUGAUAAUUUAUAGAAUUUUAAAACAUUAAUGAAGUAUGGGGAUAUAGCUUAGUAGUGGGGAGCUUGCCUAGCAUGUAUGAGGCCCAGGUUUCAUCCCCAGUGCUGGAAACAAAUUAAGUUAAAUAAAAUGUUAGCCACCUAAAGUAUUUGGAAACAUUAAAAUAUUGCUAGGGUAUCUUAUGAUAACAUUGUGAGUAUAAAGUGAUUUUCAAAGAUUAUCUUAGCCCAUUUCAAAUGUUGCUUUCUAAUAAAGAAUUAUCUGAGUUUUUUUUUUUUUUGUGGUGCUGGGUGCUGGGAUUGAACCCAGGGCCUUGUGCAUGCAAGAUAAGCACUCUACCAACUGAGCUAUAUCCCUAGCCCUUAUCUGAGUUUUUGCAGACUUUUGAUAGAGAGCUAUCAUCAUUCAGUGUAAAAGGAUGCAAGAACUCCUAUUUUAUAAUUGCAUCAUGUAAUAUAGUAUUGCAUAUGUGUUCAAGUUGAAUUGUGUACAAAUUUAAUCUGUAGGAGGUUGGUUGAGCAACAUUUUCUUUCUCUAUUUAGAAUGCUUUCUUUGAGUUAAGUACUAUGUCACAUAAUAAUAAGUUGUAACUAAUGCAAGUAAAUGUAGUGCUUUUACUGCAAAUAAUUUGCAAGUAAAAAUUUCAGCAAUGUGAAUUAAUUUUGAAUAAUAGUUUGGUAGUUCUAACUACCUGCAUUUUUUUUUUUUUUUUACUUUAGUGAUACUGGAGGGAGUAAUUUUCAAUGAUUUUUUUUUUUAGUUGUAGAUGAACACAAUAUCUUUAUUUUAUUUUUACAUGGUGCUAAGGAUCCCACCCAGAGCCUCAUGCGUGCUAGGCAAGUGCUGUAUCACUGAGCCUGAGCCCCAGCCCCAGCCCUUUCAAUGAUUUUUUUAUUUCCUAGUGUGACUGUGAAAUACUAUGGAAAAGCAUCUCAUGCUGCUGCUUACCCCUGGGAAGGAGUCAAUGCCUUAGAUGCUGCUGUUCUUGCCUACAACAAUUUGUCUGUGUUAAGACAGCAAAUGAAACCAAC